UACGUAGGGUGCAAGCGUUAUUCGGAAUUACUGGGCGUAAAGCGUGCGCAGGCGGUUCGGAAAGAGAGGUGUGAAAUCCCAGGGCUUAACCUUGGAACUGCACUUCUAACUACCGGGCUAGAGUACGGCAGAGGGGGGUAGAAUUCCACGUGUAGCAGUGAAAUGCGUAGAGAUGUGGAGGAAUACCGAUGGCGAAGGCAGCCCCCUGGGAUGAUACUGACGCUCAUGCACGAAAGCGUGGGGAGCAAACAGG
rnacentral:rRNA from 1 species